UACAGAGGGGGCAAGCGUUAUUCGGAAUUAUUGGGCGUAAAGGGCGCGUAGGCGGCUUGGCAAGUGGAAGGUGAAAUCCCUCGGCUUAACCGAGGAACUGCCUUCCAGACUGCUUUGCUUGAGGCCGGGAGAGGCGAGUGGAAUUCCCAGUGUAGCGUUGAAAUGCGUAGAUAUUGGGAGGAACACCAGUGGCGAAGGCGGCUCGCUGGACCGGUUCUGACGCUGAGGCGCGAAAGCGUGGGGAGCAAACGGG
rnacentral:rRNA from 1 species